rnacentral:lncRNA from 1 species
CCCCCGUGUUGUUGCCGUGGUGAUAGUUGCUGUGGGCGUGGCCUGGCGUGAGGGGAGGCGCUUAAAGGCUCGGAGGCGCUGCCGAAGACGUUUGAAUUGAGGGGAGAGAAGCGUCCAAACCUCAACGAGAAAACCUCAAAGGUUAAAAAAUAACGAAUUUGAAAGUUUUUAACCCCCCAAAAACGAGGUUGGGGAGGGUUUUUAG